CAGUAGCCGCGGGAAAACGUAGGGUGCAAGCGCUAAUCGGAAUUACUGGGCGUAAAGCGUGCGCAGGCGGUUUGUUAAGACAGAUGUGAAAUCCCCGGGCUCAACCUGGGAACUGCAUUUGUGACUGGCAAGCUAGAGUGUGGCAGAGGGGGGUGGAAUUCCGCGUGUAGCAGUGAAAUGCGUAGAUAUGCGGAGGAACACCGAUGGCGAAGGCAGCCCCCUGGGCCAACACUGACGCUCAUGCACGAAAGCGUGGGGAGCAAACAGGAUUAGAGACCCGAGUAGUCCCUGUCUCUUAUAC
rnacentral:rRNA from 1 species